rnacentral:misc_RNA from 1 species
AAAAUGCUAAUUAAGAAUCCAAACCAACAAAAACUUCUUAAAUAAAUAAAAUGCUUCCUAUAUUUCUUCCUAAAAUAUGUAGUCCUAAAAUCUCUAGACAAUCCUGCAUCAACUGACUAUGUUAUUUAUGCAGGAUAGAGUUUCUUUGUUAAGGGUGGGAGGGAGGAGAAACUUGCAAUCAUAUUGCCAAGAAGAGGGGGGGAAAUGGCUGAUCAAAUUAUCUUAUAUAAAAGUUGAACAUCUAGCAGUUAUGCAUUAUCUUUGAUAACUUGAUUUUAUUAGUCUUGAGACAUGGGCUGCACUGAAUCUCUUUUGAUAUCUGUGGAAGUACAAUCUCUCAAAUCAGGCAUAUUGGACCAAUAUUUGAUAACAAAGAUGCGAGAUGUACUCAUAUCUGAUAAUUAUGGAUUUGGCAUAGCAUUCUCUUCAUUUUUAUGAUUUUUUUUUUAAUUU